AGUGAACGCUGGCGGCGUGCUUAACACAUGCAAGUCGAACGAGAACGGAUUAUAGCUUGCUAUAAUUGUCAGCUAAGUGGCGCACGGGUGAGUAAUGUAUAGGUAAUAUGCCUCUUACUAAGGGAUAACAAUUGGAAACGUUUGCUAAUACCUUAUACUCCUUAUUAACAUAAGUUAAUAAGGGAAAGAUUUAUUGGUAAGAGAUUAGCCUGCAUUGUAUCAGUUAGUUGGUGGGGUAAUGGCUUACCAAGACUAUGACACAUAACUGGUUUGAGAGGAUGAUCAGUCACACUGGAACUGAGACACGGUCCAGACUCCUACGGGAGGCAGCAGUGGGGAAUAUUGCACAAUGGACGAAAGUCUGAUGCAGCAAUGCCGCGUGGAGGAUGACACAUUUCGGUGCGUAAACUCCUUUUAUAUGAGAAGAUAAUGACGGUAUUAUAUGAAUAAGCACCGGCUAACUCCGUGCCAGCCGCCGCAGUAA
rnacentral:rRNA from 1 species